rnacentral:rRNA from 1 species
CCUACGGGAGGCUGCAGUGAGGAAUAUUGGUCAAUGGACGAGAGUCUGAACCAGCCAAGUAGCGUGAAGGAUGACUGCCCUAUGGGUUGUAAACUUCUUUUAUAUGGGAAUAAAACGUUCCACGUGUGGGAUUUUGUAUGUACCAUAUGAAUAAGGAUCGGCUAACUCCGUGCCAGCAGCCGCGGUAAUACGGAGGAUCCGAGCGUUAUCCGGAUUUAUUGGGUUUAAAGGGAGCGUAGGUGGAUUGUUAAGUCAGUGGUGAAAGUUUGCGGCUCAACCGUAAAAUUGCAGUUGAAACUGGCAGUCUUGAGUACAGUAGAGGUGGGCGGAAUUCGUGGUGUAGCGGUGAAAUGCUUAGAUAUCACGAAGAACUCCGAUUGCGAAGGCAGUUCACUGGACUGCAACUGACACUGAGGCUCGAAAGUGUGGGUAUCAAACAGGAUUAGAGACCCUUGUAGUC